CCCGGAUCUUGUACACACCGCCCGUCACACCACGAGAGUUUACAACACCCGAAGUCGGUGGGGUAACCCGCAAGGGAGCCAGCCGCCGAAGGUGGGGUAGAUGAUUGGGGUG
rnacentral:rRNA from 1 species